rnacentral:rRNA from 1 species
GGAAUAUUGGGCAAUGGCCGAGAGGCUGACCCAGCCAUGCCGCGUGCAGGAAGAAGGCCUUCUGGGUUGUAAACUGCUUUUACCAGGGAAGAAAACGCUCAUGCGGGAGUAACUGACGGUACCUGGUGAAUAAGCACCGGCUAACUCCGUUCAAGCCGCCGCGGUCAUACGGAGGGUGCAAGCGUUGUCCGGGUUUAGUGGGUUUAAAGGGUGCGUAGGCGGCCCGUUAAGUCAGCGGUGAAAUCCCACGGCUCAACCGUGGAACUGCCGUUGAUACUGGCGGGCUUGAGUUCGGUCGAGGCGGGCGGAACUGGUGGUGUAGCGGUGAAAUGCAUAGAUACCACCAAGAACCCCGAUUGCGUAGGCAGCUCGCUGGGCCGAAACUGACGCUGAGGCACGAAAGCGUGGGGAGCGAAC